GUGCUCAACUACUAGAAUGAAAUAUACGAAUGGGUGCAUUGGAUCUGUCAUCAAUGAAUUUGCCCCUCACAAAAAAUUGUGAAACCUCAUAAAACGUAAAUCUUUAGAUCAAAUGUAAAGAAAAACUAGUUUGGACUCAAUUCAUCAAGUUACCACAUACCCGAGAACAUUGAAUCAGCAUUGACUCAAGAAAACUUGGAUCUUCAUCGACUCAAUAAAGCUUCCUAAGGAGUAGCUAGGUGACAGUCUUAGGAAAAUUAUUAUUUCGAGCAACGCAAGCCUAUCAUGUCAAAAAAAAAAAAAAAAGGGUGGAUGAAGAAGUAGGAGACAUGGCAAAAAGGAAAGAGAGGAUGAUGGAUGGAAGGAAAGGGAGAGAGAAAAAAAAGAAAGAAAGAGGGAAAAUGGGUGAGAAAGGACUAGAGAUGAUAAAAU
rnacentral:lncRNA from 1 species